AGCAUGUUAUAAUGCGCAGCGGAAGCUAGGGAUUUUAAAAAAUUUCUUAAUAAAGUCCCUUAACAUGAAACCCUUAUUAGCCUAGAUCACCUUAAUGGUAACAAUCAAAUAACAUAUAAAUAUAAAUAUAGGAAUAGAAGAAUACCUUUAUCGCUAAAUCCAAGUUUGUAGAAUCUCCACGAGGCGUCCAAGUGUCCGCCCUCCAACGGUGAUCCACACGAAAACUUAAUUCAAGUCUU
rnacentral:lncRNA from 1 species